rnacentral:lncRNA from 1 species
GCAAAUCGCAGAUUUGAUCUCGCCUCCACCACCGGAAGCUCGAAGGCGCCCGCCACAACCACUAAUCGCAAUCUCCUCAACCUCGUACUCCUACCAUUCUAUCAACCAUGAAUAAUCGAACGGCAACGAGGAGGAGCUGCGACGGGAGGAAGGCCGUUGGUUAGGGUUUCGCCCAUGGUUUGUUGAAGAACUGCGGUGACGAUGGCGGCGAAGGAGGGUAAGGGGAGG